rnacentral:rRNA from 1 species
AUGAGCCAGCUUAGGCACCGCAACAUAGUCCAGCUCGUGGGCUGGUGCCGUCGUCGGAGAGGAGGACUGGCGCUCGUCUACGAGCUAGUGGACGGGGGCAGCCUCGACACCCAUCUCUACAAUCCCGACAGAUGCUUAACUUGGUUGGAGAGGUACAAUAUCGCGCUCGGCCUGGGCUCCGCCCUGCGGUACCUCCACACGGACUGCCACCAGUGCGUCGUGCACGGCGACAUCAAGCCCGCGAACGUGAUGCUCGACGCGUCAGGCAGCGCUAAGCUCGGCGACUUCGGGCUCGCGAGGCUCGUCGACCACGGAGCCGAGCCACGGACGACGCAGGUCGUCGCGGGGACCCUCGGGUACAUCGACCCAGAGUUCGUCAGCAGCCGCCGGCCGAGCGCCGAGUCCGACGUGUACAGCUUCGGCGUCGUGCUCCUCGAGAUCGCCUGUGGCAGGCGGCCCGCGUCGAGGAGAACCGGCCAGGCCUCGGCGGCGCUGCUGGCCUCGGUCCGCGACUUGUACCACCGGAACCUGAUCGUCGACGCGGCGGACCGGAGGCUGGAUGACGAGUUUGACAAGCUGCAGAUGGAGCGUCUGCUCGUGACGGGGCUUUGGUGCGUGCACCACGACCCGUUGCAGCGGCCGUCCGUUACGCAGGCUAUGGAUGUGCUACGGUCCGAAGACGGCAGGUUGCCGGUGCUUGUAGCGAUGCCUGGUUCCGGGGAGAUUCGAUCGUUGGAGGGGCAGGCUUAUGGCGAUGUGUCUGACGAGAACUCUGAUUACUUGAAUGAAUCAACUGAAACUGCGUACCUUACUAGCGAGGAGUGA